GACGAACGCUUGCGGCGUGCCUAAUACAUGCAAGUAGAACGCUGAAGAGAGGAGCUUGCUCUUCUUGGAUGAGUUGCGAACGGGUGAGUAACGCGUAGGUAACCUGCCUUGUAGCGGGGGAUAACUAUUGGAAACGAUAGCUAAUACCGCAUAACAAUGGAUGACACAUGUCAUUUAUUUGAAAGGGGCAAUUGCUCCACUACAAGAUGGACCUGCGUUGUAUUAGCUAGUAGGUGAGGUAAUGGCUCACCUAGGCGACGAUACAUAGCCGACCUGAGAGGGUGAUCGGCCACACUGGGACUGAGACACGGCCCAGACUCCUACGGGAGGCAGCAGUAGGGAAUCUUCGGCAAUGGGGGCAACCCUGACCGAGCAACGCCGCGUGAGUGAAGAAGGUUUUCGGAUCGUAAAGCUCUGUUGUAAGUCAAGAACGGGUGUGAGAGUGGAAAGUUCACACUGUGACGGUAGCUUACCAGAAAGGGACGGCUAACUACGUGCCAGCAGCCGCGGUAAUACGUAGGUCCCGAGCGUUGUCCGGAUUUAUUGGGCGUAAAGCGAGCGCAGGCGGCUUGAUAAGUCUGAAGUUAAAGGCUGUGGCUCAACCAUAGUUCGCUUUGGAAACUGUCAAACUUGAGUGCAGAAGGGGAGAGUGGAAUUCCAUGUGUAGCGGUGAAAUGCGUAGAUAUAUGGAGGAACACCGGUGGCGAAAGCGGCUCUCUGGUCUGUAACUGACGCUGAGGCUCGAAAGCGUGGGGAGCGAACAGGAUUAGAUACCCUGGUAGUCCACGCCGUAAACGAUGAGUGCUAGGUGUUGGAUCCUUUCCGGGAUUCAGUGCCGCAGCUAACGCAUUAAGCACUCCGCCUGGGGAGUACGACCGCAAGGUUGAAACUCAAAGGAAUUGACGGGGGCCCGCACAAGCGGUGGAGCAUGUGGUUUAAUUCGAAGCAACGCGAAGAACCUUACCAGGUCUUGACAUCCCGAUGCUAUUUCUAGAGAUAGAAAGUUACUUCGGUACAUCGGUGACAGGUGGUGCAUGGUUGUCGUCAGCUCGUGUCGUGAGAUGUUGGGUUAAGUCCCGCAACGAGUGCAACCCCUAUUGUUAGUUGCCAUCAUUCAGUUGGGCACUCUAGCGAGACUGCCGGUAAUAAACCGGAGGAAGGUGGGGAUGACGUCAAAUCAUCAUGCCCCUUAUGACCUGGGCUACACACGUGCUACAAUGGUUGGUACAACGAGUUGCGAGUCGGUGACGGCGAGCUAAUCUCUUAAAGCCAAUCUCAGUUCGGAUUGUAGGCUGCAACUCGCCUACAUGAAGUCGGAAUCGCUAGUAAUCGCGGAUCAGCACGCCGCGGUGAAUACGUUCCCGGGCCU
rnacentral:rRNA from 1 species